rnacentral:rRNA from 1 species
AUUGAACGCUGGCGGAAUGCUUUACACAUGCAAGUCGAACGGCAGCACGGGGGCAACCCUGGUGGCGAGUGGCGAACGGGUGAGUAAUACAUCGGAACGUGCCCAGUCGUGGGGGAUAACGUAGCGAAAGUUACGCUAAUACCGCAGACGAUCUACGGAUGAAAGCGGGGGAACGUAAGGCCUCGCGCGAUUGGAGCGGCCGAUGUCAGAUUAGGUAGUUGGUGAGGUAAAGGCUCACCAAGCCGACGAUCUGUAGCUGGUCUGAGAGGACGGCCAGCCACACUGGGACUGAGACACGGCCCAGACUCCUACGGGAGGCAGCAGUGGGGAAUGUUGGACAAUGGGCGCAAGCCUGAUCCAGCCAUUCCGCGUGCAGGACGAAGGCCUUCGGGUUGUAAACUGCUUUUGUACGGAACGAAAAGGCUCUGGUUAAUACCUGGGGCUCAUGACGGUACCGUAAGAAUAAGCACCGGCUAACUACGUGCCAGCCGCCGCAGUAA